rnacentral:rRNA from 1 species
UGACCGAGCGACGCCGCGUGUACGAUGAAGGCCUUCGGGUUGUAAAGUACUGUCAGUUGGGAGGAAAUUCUUGGGGGUCAUCCCCCUUGAUUGACCCAUCUUCAGAGGAAGUGCGGGCUAAGUUCGUGCCAGCAGCCGCGGUAAUACGAACCGCACGAACGCUAUUCGGAAUCACUGGGCUUAAAGGGUGCGUAGGCGGUCUUGUAAGUUGGGUGUGAAAUCCCUCGGCUCAACCGAGGAAUUGCGCUCGAUACUGUAAGACUUGAGGGAGAUAGAGGUAAGCGGAACUCAGGGUGGAGCGGUGAAAUGUGUUGAUAUCCUGGGGAACACCAGUUGCGAAAGCGGCUUACUGGGUCUCUUCUGACGCUGAGGCACGAAAGCUAGGGGAGCGAACGGGAUUAGAUACCCCGGUAGUCCUAGCUGUAAACGAUGAGCACUUGGUUGACGGGCCUUCCAUAACCUGUCAGCCGUAGCGAAAGUGGUAAGUGCUCCGCCUGGGG